UACGUAGGGUGCGAGCGUUGUCCGGAAUUACUGGGCGUAAAGAGCUCGUAGGUGGUUUGUCGCGUUGUUCGUGAAAACCGGGGGCUUAACCCUCGGCGUGCGGGCGAUACGGGCAGACUUGAGUACUGCAGGGGAGGACUGGGAAUUCCUGGUGUAGCGGUGGAAUGCGCAGAUAUCAGGAGGAACACCGGUGGCGAAGGCGGGUCUCUGGGCAGUAACUGACGCUGAGGAGCGAAAGCGUGGGGAGCGAACAGG
rnacentral:rRNA from 1 species